UACGUAGGGUGCAAGCGUUAAUCGGAAUUACUGGGCGUAAAGCGUGCGCAGGCUGUUAAGCAAGACCGAUGUGAAAUUCCGAGGCUCAACCCCGGAACUGCAUUAGUGACUGCUUAACUAGAGUAAGGGAGAGAGGGGUAGAAUUCCACGUGUAGCAGUGAAAUGCGUAGAUAUGUGGAGGAACACCGAAGGCGAAGGCAGCCCCUUGGCCCAAUACUGACGCUCAGGCACGAAAGCGUGGGGAGCAAACAGG
rnacentral:rRNA from 1 species